UACGUAGGGGGCGAGCGUUAUCCGGAUUUAUUGGGUUUAAAGGGAGCGUAGGCGGCCUUUUAAGUCAGCGGUGAAAUGUCAUGGCCCAACCUUGGCAUGCCGUUGAUACUGAUGGCUUGAAUACACACAAGGGCGGUGGAAUUCGUCGUGUAGCGGUGAAAUGCUUAGAUAUGACGAAGAACUCCGAUUGCGAAGGCAGCCGCCUGGGGUGCGAUUGACGCUGAGGCUCGAAAGUGCGGGUAUCAAACAG
rnacentral:rRNA from 1 species